rnacentral:rRNA from 1 species
GACGAACGCUGGCGGCGUGCCUAAUACAUGCAAGUCGAGCGGUGAAGGGUGGUACUUGUACCGAACGGAUGAGCAGCGAACGGGAGAGUAACGCGGGGGGGAUAAGCAUUGGAGGGGGGGACAACAUUUGGAAACGAAUGCUAAUACCGCAUAAAAAAAUUAAACAGAAGAGGUAAGUUCGAAAGAUGCAAUUGCAUGACUCAAAGAUGAUUACGCGUUGUAUUAGCUAGUUGGUGAGGGAAAGGCUCAUCAAGGAGAUGAUACAUAGCCGACCUGAGAGGAUGAUCAGCCGCAGUGGGACUGGGACACGGCCCCAACUCCUGCCGGAGGCAGCACUAGGGCAUCUUCGGCAAUCGACGAAAGUCUGUCCGCGCAACUCCGCGUGAGUGUAGAAGGUCUUCGCAUCGUAAAACUCUGUUGGUAGAGAAUAGCGUUCUUGAGAUUGGAAAGCUCAUCAAGUGACGGUAACUACCCAGUAAGCGACGGCUAACUACGUG